rnacentral:misc_RNA from 1 species
UCAAACUUGGUCAUUUAGAGGAAGUAAAAGUCGUAACAAGGUUUCCGUAGGUGAACCUGCGGAAGGAUCAUUAACGAGUUUGAAACGGGUUGUAGCUGGCCUUCCGAGGCAUGUGCACGCCCUGCUCAUCCACUCUACACCUGUGCACUUACUGUAGGCUUUCGGGAUGCUGUGGCGGGCUUUUGCUUGCUUAGCUUCCGGUCCCUACGUCUAUUAUAAACGCUUUAGUAACAGAACGUGUAUUGCGAUGUUAACGCAUUUAUAUACAACUUUCAGCAACGGAUCUCUUGGCUCUCGCAUCGAUGAAGAACGCAGC